rnacentral:rRNA from 1 species
GACGGGGGCCCGCACAAGCGGAGGAACAUGUGGUUUAAUUCGAUGAUACGCGAGGAACCUUACCCGGGCUUGAACUGCAGGAGAACGAUUCAGAGAUGAUGAGGUCCUUCGGGACUCCUGUGGAGGUGCUGCAUGGUUGUCGUCAGCUCGUGCCGUGAGGUGUCGGCUUAAGUGCCAUAACGAGCGCAACCCCUUUCGUUAGUUGCCAUCAGGUAAUGCUGGGCACUCUGGCGAUACUGCCACCGUAAGGUGUGAGGAAGGUGGGGAUGACGUCAAAUCAGCACGGCCCUUACGUCCGGGGCUACACACGUGUUACAAUGGGUGGUACAGAGAGUGGGUCGUCUGCAAAUGCGAUCAAAUCCUAAAAGCCAUCCUCAGUUCGGAUUGGGGUCUGCAACCCGACCCCAUGAAGCUGGAUUCGCUAGUAAUCGCGCAUCAGCCAUGGCGCGGUGAAUACGUUCCCGGGCCUUGUACACACCGCCCGUCAAGCCAUGAAAGCCGGGGGCGCUUGAAGUCCGUGACCGCAAGGAUCGGCCUAGAGCGAAACGGGUAAUUGGGGCUAAGUCGUAACAAGG